rnacentral:rRNA from 1 species
AGACCGUAAACGGUGGGCACUAGUUGUGGGAACCUUCCACGGUUUCUGCGACGCAGCUAACGCAUUAAGUGCCCCGCCUGGGGAGUACGAUCGCAAGAUUAAAACUCAAAGGAAUUGACGGGGCCCCGCACAAGCAGCGGAGCACGCGGCUUAAUUCGACGCAACGCGAAGAACCUUACCAAGGCUUGACAUAUAGGGAAAAGUGGCAGAGAUGUCAUGUCCGCAAGGGCUCUAUACAGGUGGUGCAUGGUUGUCGUCAGCUCGUGUCGUGAGAUGUUGGGUUAAGUCCCGCAACGAGCGCAACCCUCGUUCUGUGUUGCCAGCAUUUAGUUGGGGACUCACAGGAGACUGCCGGGGUUAACUCGGAGGAAGGUGAGGAUGACGUCAAAUCAUCAUGCCCCUUAUGUCUUGGGCUGCACGCAUGCUACAAUGGCUGGUACAAAGGGCUGCAAUACUGCAAAGUGGAGCGAAUCCCAAAAAGCCAGUCUCAGAUCGGAUUGGGGUCUGCAACUCGACCCCAUG